AGAGUCCUGCGAAAACUGAAGUGGAGGAAGCUUAUGAAGGAGAAGACGAGCAUGAGCAGUCUCCUUCCAUCAAGAGGGAGCUCUCUGAUUUUGAUCUUCAAGUCCACCAAGCUGCUGCAAACAAAGGAAUAUGUGAUCCAUCAAAUGAAGAGAUAAAAUACCCGAGUGCGUAUGAAGACCAAGCUAACAUUCAAUUCGAAGACACGGACCAUAAAUACAGCAUAAAGAGUGAUGAUAUAAUCCAAAGUGGACAUGUCAGUGAUCCCGGGAUUGGCAAGACUGACUUUUGGGCUUCUCCAGAGCUCAAGAGAUCUUGUUCUAACCUGGAAAGAAGGGAUGUACUUAUGAAGACUUCUCAUCUCUUUCCAACUUCCAAGUCACAGUCUUUUGAGGAUUUACACGGAUUAUCAGCGUAUCAGAUGGCUAAUCUAGAAAGCCCCAGGUCUGCGAUGACUCACUGCAGUGCUGAUAAAGUGAUGUUGAAAAGGCAUUCCUCAAGUCAAGUUCUCCCUUCUAGAAGUAAA
rnacentral:lncRNA from 1 species